UGGGGAAUAUUGGACAAUGGGCGAAAGCCUGAUCCAGCAAUGCCGCGUGAGUGAUGAAGGCCUUAGGGUUGUAAAGCUCUUUUACCAGGGAUGAUAAUGACAGUACCUGGAGAAUAAGCUCCGGCUAACUCCGUGCCAGCAGCCGCGGUAAUACGGAGGGAGCUAGCGUUGUUCGGAAUUACUGGGCGUAAAGCGUACGUAGGCGGUGACUCAAGUCAGAGGUGAAAGCCUGGAGCUCAACUCCAGAACUGCCUUUGAAACUAGGUCGCUAGAAUCACGGAGAGGUGAGUGGAAUUCCGAGUGUAGAGGUGAAAUUCGUAGAUAUUCGGAAGAACACCAGUGGCGAAGGCGGCUCACUGGACGUGUAUUGACGCUGAGGUACGAAAGCGUGGGGAGCAAACAGGAUUAGAUACCAGUAGUCCCUGAGCGGGCUGGCAAGGCGCAU
rnacentral:rRNA from 1 species